rnacentral:lncRNA from 1 species
GGUGACUAAGGAGACGUGCUCCUGGAAGAAGGCACUCAACGUGCAGGGUGCACAGCCCACUGACCUUCUUCCCUUCUGUAUGUCUUUUACAGUAGUGUCAGAAAUAUCACAGCUGGAACCAAUGCUGUCUAGAAGCUCUGAUACAGGCCCAGCUGCUUGUGAUUCUACAGCACGCCCACAGGAACUCAAACAACAGAUCCAGAGCUGCUGUGGGGUCAACAUAUCCUCACUAG